UCAGAUCACGUAAUUUUUUAAUAGUCGAACAGACUACCUUCUCUUAACUUCUUCACCAAGAAUAAAAAUUAAUUCAACAUCGAGGUCACAAACUUAAUUAUUAAUAAGAACUUGCUAAUUAAAUUAUGCUGUUAUCCCUAGAGUAACUUUUUUAACUUUUUUAAAUUUUUAAAAAUUAAUAUCUUCAAAUGUUACCCCAACCAAAAAUUUCUCAAUCACAAGCUUCUAGGGUCUUCUCGUCCCAAAAUUUGAUAAAAGCAUUUUUACUUCUAAUUUAAAUUCAAGAUAAUCAAAUAAAACUAUCUCUUUAGUUAAAACCCUUCAUUCCAGUUUUCAAUUAAAAAA
rnacentral:rRNA from 1 species